GCAAGAUUACUUUUUUAUUUUCAUCUUCUACAGUUUCAAAAUAACAAAAAAAAAGAAAAGGGCCUGAAGCAAAAGUUUGGGCACCCUGCAUGGUCAAUAAUUAGUAACACUCCCUUUGGCAAGUAUCAUAAUUUGUAAACGCUUUCUGUAGCCAGCUAAGAGUCUUUCAAUUCUUGUUUGGGGGAUUUUUGCCCAUUCUUCCUUGCAAAAGGCUCCUAGUUCUGUGAAAUUCUUGGGCCGUCUUGCACGCACUGCACUUAUGAGGUCUAUCCACUGAUUUUUGAUGAUGUUUAUGUCAGGGGACUGUGAGGGCCAUGACAAAACCAUCAGCUUGCGCCUCUUGAGGUAUUCGCCUCAGAAUCCAUUGUGGAUUCUGAGGUGUGUUUAGGUUCAUUAUCCUGUUGUAGAAGCCAUCCUCUUUACACCUUCAGCUUUUUUUUACAAAUGGUGUGAUGUUUGCUUCCAGAAUUUGCUGGUAUUUCGUUGAAUUCAUUCUUCCCUCUACCAGUGAAAUGUUGCCUGUGCCACUGGCUGCAACACAAGCUGAUCGAUCCACCCCUGUGAUUAACAGUUGGAGAGGUGUUACUUUCAUGAAAUUCUGCACCCUUUUUUCUCCAAAUAUAUCUUUGCUCAUUGUGGCCAAGAAGUUCUAUUUUAACUUCAUCAGUCCACAGGACUUGUUUCAAAAAUGUAUCGGGCUUGUUUAGAUGUUCCUUUGCAAACUUCUGCUGCUGCAUUUUGUGGUGAGGAUGCAGGAAAGGUUUUCUUCCAUGAAGGUCAUAUUUGUGCAGAUGUCGCUGCACAGUAGAACAGUGCACCACCACUCCAGAGUCUGCUAAAUCUUCCUGAAGGUCUAUUGCAGUCAAACAGGGGUUUUGAUUUGCCUUUCUAGCAAUCCUUCGAGCAGUUCUCUCAGAAAGUUUUCUUCGUCUUCCAGACCUCAACUUGACCUCCAUCCUUCCUGUUAACUGCCAUUUCUAAUUACAUUACUCACUGAGGAAACGGCUACCUGAAAAUGCUUUGCUAUCUUCUUAUAGCUUUCUCUUGCUUUGUGGGCAUCAUUUAUUUUAAUUUUCAGAGUGCUAGGCAGCUGCUGAUUGUUGGGACAAGGUUUGAGGAGUCAGGGUAUUUAUAAAGCUUUGAAAUUUACAUCACCUGGCCUUUCCUAACGAUGACUGUGAACAAGCCAUUGCCCAAACAAGCUAAUUAAGGCCUGAGACCUUGGUAAAAGUUAUCUGAGAGCUCAAAUCUCUUGGGGUGCCCAAAUUUUUUCAUGGUGCUCCUUUUCUUUUUUUCACUCUAAAAUUGUACAAAACAAAAAUAAUACACUAAGCUUGCUUAAAAUGUUGAAAAGAAUGUUUCAUCUUUAACUUUAUGACUUUUGGAGAUCAGUUAAUCUUCUACUCACUUAACUAUUAGCAGUAACAGAAAUUUUGACCAGGGGGCCCAAAAUUUGUAUGCCACUGUAUAUAUAACAUAAAAUAUUUAAAUAAGGAGUGCGAAAGCAAGUAGUGAGUUAAUGUUCAUGGGUUCAAUGUCCAUUCAGAAAUCUGAAGACAGAGAGGCAGAAUCUGCUUCUGAAUUGUUGAGUGUGUUCCUUCUCCCAAUAAGAAGAGGGCUUGACCUGAGUGAUGGGGUCCUAAAUGAUGGAUGCUUCCUUUUGAUCAUCGCUCAUUGAAGAUGUCCUGGAUGCUGUGGAAACUAGUGCCCAUGAUGGAGUUGACUGAGUUAUAUAUGCUAUAUGGAAUAUAGUAUAGCAGCAGACCUUUGGCCCAUGAUGUUGCUGCAAAAAAUUGAUUUAAUAAAACCCCUCUGUUUUCAUGUGGUUCAUAUCACUGUAUUCUCUCCAUAUUCUUGUUAGUUGAAUGAUUUCAUUUGAACUUGUUGGCAAACCAAGCAUUUGAUCUUGCUUGUAAAAUUCCUAUUUUGAUGAAACAGAGAUCCAGGAAUAUGAAAUAAUUGUAUCCACCACAAGCGACUAGUAGAACCAUACACUCUAGUCACAGAGCUGUAGGAAAAUCUGAGGCUGUAAUAUAUAGUGUGAGAUAUAUGGUGAAAUAGCAUUAGCCAUUACUCAGCACAAGUUCAUCAAUUUACCAAAAAAGCCACAUUUUAACAAUCUGCAGGAUACAAUAGGAAACAAAAAAAAACAUUUUCCGUGGCAUUACAAUACUGGAAGAGAAAAAAAAAGUUGAAAAAAAAUUGUUGGAAAGAAUGUUUCAUCUUUAACGUUAUGACUUUUGGAGAUCAGUUCAUCUUCUACUCACAGAGAGUUUGACUAGGGUGCCCAAACCUUUGCAUGGCACUGUACGGUGACUUUCCUGAUUUGCAGCACUCAUGUUGGAGGGUAAUCCUGACUUCUACUGCUCCAACAGGCAAAUGUUUCCAAGAGUUUUCAAGAGUUAUCCCUGCUCUGGAUAACCUCCUGUCGUGACAGAGUACAGAUCUAUUUUUGGAGUCUGGUGUCAAGCAUAUCCUCUCCAAUGUAAUGAAUGUUUCUGGGCUCUAGAUAGUAGGAUAUCUUUUUGAAAUGUAUUGAGACAUUGAGAGAUAUCGCUAGCUGCAUCUUGUUCAUUCAGCUCCUUAAUUACAUCACAAGCAUUCAAAUGUUACACCUGGAUGUCACAUACAUGCAUCCAUUUUAUAGAUUUCCUCUUUGAAAAGAAAGAAUGAUUCACAUCUGCACACAUUAUUUACCAAUUUCAAAGUUCAAAGUAAAUUUAUUGUUACAGAGAUUCAUUUUCUUGCAAGCAUGCUCCAUAAAUCUAUGGUAUAAUAACCAAAACAGAAUCAAUAAAAAAAAUCCAACUAGAGCAUUCAACCAGAGUGCAAAAGAAAACAAACUGUGCAACUACAAAAAGAAGAAAUAAUAAGUAAACAAACAAACAAACAAACAAAUAAAUAAAUAAUUAUUGAAAAUACGAGAUGAAGUGUCUUUGAAAUGAGCCCACUGGUUGUGGGAAUGGUUUAAACUCUCCAAGGUACUCUGAUCUUCCUUGAUCUUUUCAAGGCAAGUUGUGUUGUUGGUCUCUAUCUGGGUCUUGUCUGAAAUGAAGAGUCAUUACUUGAUUUGGAUCACUAGAAUCUUGUGAUGUCUCUUCUAUGAGUAAUGAUAGAUUUAGUUGUAGAAUACACUCACAAUCACAUAAUUCUUCAAUAUCUCUUGCAGAAUUAAAUUUAUUUACAUGUACACUUUUAUUUCUUUGUAAAGCAGCAAUAUCUCAUUUCAGAAUGUGGUGCAUUAUUAUUCAAAAUCUAUGCUUAAAAUGGGUCAGUUGUCCUAUGGGGAAAUAAUGGGCAGAGUAGGUUUAUAUCUGCUGCAAGAAUGAGAGGGUACUGGACUGAAUCAGAUAACAUUUUGAAUGGUCUUAACAAUGGCAGGAUAUUUCCUCUUGUGGAAGGAUCUAAAGCCAGUGAUUAUGUGAAAAAUAAGGGAUUAACUAUUUAAAGAGGGGUGAUUUAUUUUGUACUCAGUGGAUUAAGAUUCUUUCAGGUUCCCUUCCUCAAAGGAAGGUGGACACUAUGAUUACUUAUAAAGAAAGUGUUGUAUUCUGAUGUUUUUGAACCAAAGUUCUUUCAGAAGUCAAUAAAGAGGCAUAAAACUUGUUGCUUCAUGAUUGUUUUAUUAAGCACUAAUAGAACUAAGAGAAUUGGAAAUGAAGACGUGUGGGAUGUAGUAGUGGAAGGAAAAGAAGAAGCAAAGAUGGUGGAUCAAUAUGUCCAGCCCUUCCUAUACCAUAGUGAACUCUCCACUGCACCAUCCUGGAUGCUGGAUGAUAUGAUGCAGUGGGCCUGACGGAAACUUUAAUUCUUAGAACACCCAUAUGGGAAUGAAUGGAACUGGGGACAAGUAAUAGUCUAUGAGGAAUUUUGCAUGGUUACACGCACAACGUGCUGGAGGAACUCUGCAGGACAGAUAGCGGCUAUGGAAAAGAUGAUGAUCUCUACACUAUGAACACAGGUGCAAAAUCUUGAGCAACACAUACGCAAAAGUCAGGCACCAUCAAUGGAGGGGAAUGGAUAAUCGGCAUUUUGAGAUGAGACCCUUCAUCUUGUGGCCUUGCUAUCAAUUUUUAUUAUGAAUGGUGGUUCCAGUCCGGAGCCCGCCUUGCUCCGGUCCGCAGACUCCGGACUCCGGGCCUUGCAGCCAGCCCUCCUGUCACACGGAGCCAUUGGAUCAUCUUGGCUUAAGGAGGUUACACCUGUCACCUAUUAGGGGGCAGGUGUUUAUAAGGGGCUCGGGGACUGAGCCUAGGUUUGGGGUUGUCCUGCUCUGAAGCUGGUUUAACCCGGUCUGUACCUGGACUGCUGGCUCUGAAUCCUGUUCUGCCCUGGUUGCCACCCUGCUUGGAAUCCUGCUCUGGCCUGGUUGCUGAACCAUUCUGUAUAUGCUCUAUCUGGUUGGUCUUGUUCCCCUGCUUCUCUCCUGUGCGCUGGUCCUGCUGUUCCACCUUAUUCUCUUUGCUCGCUCUGCCUCGCUGUUGGUGGCCUUUCCCAAAUUGCCUGUGUAUGACAGUAGUCCUGUUGUUCACCCUGGACCCAGCUUCCUUCUGAUCCCUUGCUUCUGUUGGGCAGCUCUGGCUGGACUGCUACUGCCUGGUGGGGGUUCUGCCCCUUCCUACCCGUUACCUCCGUCAGGCAGGUCUGGCUGGAUUGCCGCUGGCCGGCUGAUUUUUCUGCCCUUUCCACCCAUUUGUGCCCCGCACCUGCCCAAGUGUCCGUGACUGGCCCAGACCUGGGAAGCGGCUCUGCCCGGGAUCCAUGCGGCCCACCUUAAGGACUCCCACCCUUUCCUCCCUUCAUUUCCCAUGGGUUGUGCCCGGCACCUGCCCAGGCCUCUGUUUCUGCCUGGGAGGCAGCCCUGUCUGGGAUCUAUGCGGCCCGCCAUGAAGAAUCCUCCUGCCUGCCUCGUCUGGCCUCUGGGAUCCAGCCCCCACCUGCCUUACCCUUUACAUGCCAUGGCAUCCCCAUCCUGUCCUAUCCCUAGUACCAGUGUCUGCAUCCUGCAUUUGGGUCCAAUCCUGCCCCUGUUCCUGACAUCCAAUCUCUCCAAUUAUUUUGUAUGUAUUUGCAAUGCAUUUACAGACCUUAGAAAAGGUGAUGAAUGUCAAUAUUCAAUAUCUACCCCAGAGAAUUCCAAUAGAUUGAAUGAGGGAUAGAGUGAAUUCUCCUCAGCAUUGUCAUUACUGUGCUUUCACUCAAUAGAGGAGAGUUAAUCCAACCCUUCACCACACAUUAUUCAAAAAGAACUGAACCAAUAAUGGUUCAGUUUGGUUUGAGGAAACACUUAGGGUAAAAUUUAUAUCCAGGAGUAAUACUAGCAGAGUGAAUUCAUUGCCUAUUAUAAUAAAACAUAAGUUUUGAUAUUUUGUUCUAACCUGGCAACUUUAAAAUACUCUCUUCAACUUGAAGGGGGCUGAGAUGAAUUUUAUUGUCCCAAGCACAAUGGUGCCAGGCUAUCUAAUGUAUUCUUGAUGAUUCAAUGAUGACCAAUUCAGUUCAAGUGAGAAGUGGAAAACAUAAACAAAUUCCUCAGAAUCCAACCAAAUUAUUUACGUUUAUAUUUGCUCCAAUUUGAGACUCUAGUGAGUAGCUGCUGUAGAAAUAAUGGAAACCAAUGUUACAUAUACAGAUUGUCAAACUCAAUUCAAUUCUGAAGGUGAGAUAGUUAUCCAAAACAUUUUCAAUCAAUUCAGGGAGAGGAGAAUCAUAAUUUGGGAAAAAGGGAAGGGAGCGGGUUGCACCAGAGAGACUUUCUGUAAUGAUCAAUAAA